rnacentral:rRNA from 1 species
AUCGAACGCUGGCGGCAUGCCUAACACAUGCAAGUCGAACGAGAGGCGGACGGGUGAGUAAUGUCUGGGAAACUGCCUGAUGGAGGGGUCUAACUACUGGAAACGGUAGCUAAUACCGCAUACCAUCAGAUGUGUCCAGAGUGGAUUAGCUAGUUGGUGGGGUAACGGAUUACCAAGGCGACGAUCCAUAGCUGCUCUGAGAGGAUGAACAGCCACAGUGGAACUGAGACACGGUCCAGACUCCUACGGGAGGAAGCAGGGGGGAAUAUUGCGCAAUGGGCGCAAGCCUGAUGCAGCAAUGCCGCGUGUAUGAAGAAGGCCUUCGGGUUGUAAAGUACUUUCGGCGGGGAAGCGUUACCCGCAGAGGAAGCGCCGGCUAACUCCGUGCCAGCAGCCGCGGUAAUUC